GCCGUCCUCGCCGCCGCGGACCCGUACUGCUGGGUAAACAUGUGAAGAACUAACAAGACUGGCAGCGGAAGUUUCCAGGAAAUCAAACAGAAUCACACCCAAGGUGUACAGUUCAGUGGCAUGAAGUACAUUCACAUUGCUGUGUAACCCUCACCACUGUCCAUCUCCAGGACUUUCUCAUCUUCGUCAGCUGAAACGCUGUCUCCAUUAAACACCAGCUCCGUACCCUCCCAUCCUCCAGGCCCUGGAAACCACCUCUGUCUCUAUGAAUGUGACUACGCAGGCAUCUCAUAUGAGUGGAACCCUGUAGUACUUUUUUUUGUGACUGGCUUAUAUCACUUAGCAUAAUGUCCUCAAGAGUCAUCCAGGUUAGUCAUUUCAAGCCCUUCAUUUUCAGAUAAAAAUCAUCUGUAGAUCAUACUUGUUUUGUUGUUGUUGUUGUUUUGUUUUUUGCUUUUUGAGACGGAAUUUCGCUGUUGUUGCCCAGGCUGGAGUGCAAUGGCAUGAUCUCGGCUCACUGCAACCUCCGCCUACCAGGUUCAAACUAUUCUCCUGCCUCAGCCUCCCAAGUAGCUGGGACUACAGGCAUGGCCCACCAUGCCUGGCUAAUUUUGUAUAUUUAGUAGGGACAGGGUCUCUCCAUGUUGGUCAGGCUGGUCUUGAACUCCCGACCUCAGGUGAUCUGCCCACCUCGGCCUCCCAAAGUGCUGGGAUUACAGGCAUGAGCCACCACGCCCUGCCUCUGUUUUAA
rnacentral:lncRNA from 1 species